rnacentral:ncRNA from 1 species
UCAAAACUCCGAGUCUGAACCGCCUACGUUGCCCUCGUUAAAUAAACAGGGCAAUAAGGUGGCCAGACCGCUCAGCCAAGUGCUGUAAGGGUAGGGGGAGAAAUGCCCCGGCCUCCCAUAUUGGAAAGGUGUUUUAUGUU